AACUAUAACGGUCCUAAGGUAGCGAAAUUCCUUGUCGGGUAAGUUCCGACCUGCACGAAUGGCGUAACGACUGCGGCGGUGUCUCAACCAGGGACUCAGUGAAGUUAAAGUGGCGGUGAAGAUGCCGUCUACCCGCGGCAAGACGGAAAGACCCCGUGCACCUUUACUACAACUUGACAUUGGAUUUCGGGAUGGUUUGUGUAGGAUAGGUGGGAGACUUUGAAGCCGGGGCGCUAGCAACGGUGGAGUCAUCCUUGAAAUACCACCCUGAUUAUUCUGAAAUUCUAACCUAGGCCCGUCAUCCGGGUCGGGGACCGUGUCUGGUGGGUAGUUUGACUGGGGCGGUCGCCUCCGAAAGAGUAACGGAGGCGUGCAAAGGUUCCCUCAGGCUGUUUGGAAAUCAGCCGUAGAGCGUAAAGGUAGAAGGGAGCUUGACUGCGAGACGGACACGUCGAGCAGGUGGGAAACCAGGCCUUAGUGAUCCGGCGGCUCCGCAUGGAAGGGCCGUCGCUCAACGGAUAAAAGGUACGCCGGGGAUAACAGGCUUAUCUCCCCCAAGAGUUCACAUCGACGGGGAGGUUUGGCACCUCGAUGUCGGCCCAUCGCAUCCUGGGGCUGAAGCAGGUCCCAAGGGUUCGGCUGUUCGCCGAUUAAAGCGGUACGCGAGCUGGGUUUAGAACGUCGUGAGACAGUUCGGUCCCUAUCUGUCGCGGGCGUAGGAUAUUUGAGGAGGGGCUGUCCCUAGUACGAGAGGACCGGGAUGGACAGACCUCUGGUGGUCCAGUUGUCACGCCAGUGGCACAGCUGGGUAGCUAAGUCUGGAAUGGAUAAUCGCUGAAAGCAUCUAAGCGAGAAACCAGCCUCAAGAUAAGAUAUCCCUGUGACUUUGUCACCUAAAGGCCACUCCGAGACUAGGAGGUUGAUAGGCUGGGUGUGUAAGCGCAGUAAUGCGUUGAGCUAACCAGUACUAACCGGCCGUGAGGCUUGACCCC
rfam:Deltaproteobacteria bacterium RIFOXYA12_FTLL_61_11 rifixya3_full_scaffold_397, whole genome shotgun sequence.